rnacentral:rRNA from 1 species
CGUUUGACGUUAGCGACAGAAGAAGCACCGGCUAACUCCGUGCCAGCAGCCGCGGUAAUACGGAGGGUGCGAGCGUUAAUCGGAAUUACUGGGCGUAAAGCGCAUGCAGGUGGUUUGUUAAGUCAGAUGUGAAAGACCCGGGGCGUCAACCUCGGAAUAGCAUUUGAAACUGGCAAACUAGAGUACUGUAGAGGGGGGUAGGAAUUUCAGGUGUAGCGGUGAAAUGCGUAGAGAUCUGAAGGAAUACCGGUGGCGAAGGCGGCCCCCUCGGACAGAUACUGACACUCAGAUGCGAAAGCGUGGGGAGCAAACAGGAUUAGAUACCCUGGUAG